rnacentral:rRNA from 1 species
GGCUAAAGCAUGCAAGUCGAACGAGAACUGGCCUUCGGGCCAGGGACAGUGGCGGAAGGGCGAGUAAUGCGUUCCUUACGUACCCUCUGGUAGGGGAUAGGUCAGGGAAACUUGGCGUAAUACCCUAUAAGAUCUCCGGAUGAAAGGCUNCGGUCGCCGGAGGAGCGGGGAACGUCCUAUCAGGUUGUUGGUGAGGUAACGGCUCACCAAGCCGAAGNCGGGUAGCGGGUGUGAGAGCAUGACCCGCCGCAUCGGGACUGAGACACUGCCCGGACUCCUACGGGAGGCUGCAGCGACGAAUAUUCCGCNAUGCGCGAAAGCGUGACGGAGCAAUGCCGCGUGCAGGAUGAAGCGGCUUCGCCGUGUAAACU